rnacentral:sRNA from 1 species
UGCUACUGGAGGCUGAGGAAUUGGUGUU